GACGAACGCUGGCGGCGUGCUUAACACAUGCAAGUCGAACGAUGAAGCCUAGCUUGCUAGGUGGAUUAGUGGCGAACGGGUGAGUAAUACGUGAGUAACCUACCUUUAACUCUGGGAUAAGCCUGGGAAACUGGGUCUAAUACCGGAUACGACCAAUCUCCGCAUGGGGUGUUGGUGGAAAGCGUUAUGUAGUGGUUAUAGAUGGGCUCACGGCCUAUCAGCUUGUUGGUGAGGUAACGGCUCACCAAGGCGACGACGGGUAGCCGGCCUGAGAGGGUGACCGGCCACACUGGGACUGAGACACGGCCCAGACUCCUACGGGAGGCAGCAGUGGGGAAUAUUGCACAAUGGGCGCAAGCCUGAUGCAGCGACGCCGCGUGAGGGAUGACGGCCUUCGGGUUGUAAACCUCUGUUAGCAGGGAAGAAGAGAGAUUGACGGUACCUGCAGAGAAAGCGCCGGCUAACUACGUGCCAGCAGCCGCGGUAAUACGUAGGGCGCGAGCGUUGUCCGGAAUUAUUGGGCGUAAAGAGCUUGUAGGGCGGUUUGUCGCGUCUGCUGUGAAAGGCCGGAGCUUAACUCCGUGUAUUGCAGUGGGUACGGGCAGACUAGAGUGCAGUAGGGGAGACUGGAAUUCCUGGUGUAGCGGUGGAAUGCGCAGAUAUCAGGAGGAACACCGAUGGCGAAGGCAGGUCUCUGGGCUGUAACUGACGCUGAGAAGCGAAAGCAUGGGGAGCGAACAGGAUUAGAUACCCUGGUAGUCCAUGCCGUAAACGUUGGGCACUAGGUGUGGGGAACAUUCCACGUUUUCCGCGCCGUAGCUAACGCAUUAAGUGCCCCGCCUGGGGAGUACGGCCGCAAGGCUAAAACUCAAAGAAAUUGACGGGGGCCCGCACAAGCGGCGGAGCAUGCGGAUUAAUUCGAUGCAACGCGAAGAACCUUACCAAGGCUUGACAUAUACUGGACCGCAUCAGAGAUGGUGUUUCCCUUCGGGGCUGGUAUACAGGUGGUGCAUGGUUGUCGUCAGCUCGUGUCGUGAGAUGUUGGGUUAAGUCCCGCAACGAGCGCAACCCUCGUUCUAUGUUGCCAGCACGUUAUGGUGGGGACUCAUAGGAGACUGCCGGGGUCAACUCGGAGGAAGGUGGGGAUGACGUCAAAUCAUCAUGCCCCUUAUGUCUUGGGCUUCACGCAUGCUACAAUGGCCGGUACAGAGGGUUGCGAUACUGUGAGGUGGAGCUAAUCCCUAAAAGCCGGUCUCAGUUCGGAUUGGGGUCUGCAACUCGACCCCAUGAAGUCGGAGUCGCUAGUAAUCGCAGAUCAGCAACGCUGCGGUGAACACGUUCCCGGGCCU
rnacentral:rRNA from 1 species